AUUGAACGCUGGCGGUAUGCUUAACACAUGCAAGUCGAACGGCAGCAGAGUAGGUAGCAAUACAUAUGGGUGGCGAGUGGCGGACGGGUGAGUAACGCGUAGGAAUCUACCCUAAAGCGGGGGACAACCCGAGGAAACUCGGGCUAAUACCGCAUAAUCUCGAAAGAGUAAAGCUGGGGCAACCUGACACUUUAGGAGGAGCCUGCGUCCGAUUAGCUAGUUGGUGAGGUAAAGGCUCACCAAGGCGAUGAUCGGUAGCUGGUCUGAGAGGAUGAUCAGCCACACUGGGACUGAGACACGGCCCAGACUCCUACGGGAGGCAGCAGUGGGGAAUAUUGGACAAUGGGGGCAACCCUGAUCCAGCAAUACCGCGUGUGUGAAGAAGGCCUUAGGGUUGUAAAGCACUUUAGUUGGGGAAGAAGGAUAGUUGUUUAAGAGAUGAUUAUUUUGACGGUACCCAAAGAAUAAGCACCGGCUAACUCUGUGCCAGCCGCCGCCGUAA
rnacentral:rRNA from 1 species